CAAGGAGGGGCAACAAACACUCGCGAACAGUAACCAGCCUACCACAGACUGGUGUUCGCACGGCGUGAUUUAACCCGUAGCCAGGGCAGCAGUCUGCUGGGCUCAGUGAUUGGUCCAUGUUGGUCCAAUCAGAGUGAAGCAAAGACGGUUGUUUGAUGGUUGGGGGAGGAGUUGACCUUGCUCUUUCGCUCCGAGGGAGCUGCUGCAGCCAUUUUUCUGCCACAAGGUAAGAAGUGUGACCAGAAGGUUGAUACGUGCAGCAAGGCAAAGUCGAGAGAAAUGGAGCCCCAGCACUCAGGACCCCAUGAAUCUCUGGAAUAGCUCGCCCUGAAGGUGGUCCAGCCUCUGAACUUUCCAAUGAUAGAUCUCAAUCAAUUCGCUUAGGUUAAACUAGUUUAAGUAAGAGCUUUUAUUACUUCUAAUUCGAACUGAUAAUCUUAAAAUUCAAGGCCCAGCAAAGUCCUAAACUGCCUUAGAAGAGGCACGUAUGUAUGUAUGUAUGUAUAAUAUGCUUAAUUUUCUGUAAAAAUAAUGUAGCAACAUUAUGAAAAUUUUGAAAAAUAAGGAAAUGAUCCAUAAUCAUACUAUCCUCAAAUAGCAACUCCUUAAUCAGGUCUGCAUAUGUCCUUCUAGUCCCCCCGCCGUGUGCAUUUAUUUUUACAUAGGUUGUAUCAAAGCACACAAAUAAUUUUGUGUCCUGACCUUUUCACUUACAUGUACAUUUGAAUUCUUUCCCCACAUUGCUACAUAAUAUUCUAAGGAUCACUGGCAUAGCAGCAAAAUAUUCUAGCAAUCAGCUAUAAUACAGUGUAGGUGAAAAUUUUCCCUAAUUUUGGACAAUUAGUUUGCUUCCAGUUUUUUACUUUAUAGGUAACAGUGCCAUCUAUGUAUAAAUAGAUGUGCAUGAAGAAAACUGGAAGGGCAUACACAAAACGUGAUACCAGUGGAUGCUUUUGUUCAGGCCUCUCUGCCCUGUGGACCAUAAGACUCAUUUAGAACCUGGAAGACCUGCAGACCCUCGACUGGAUGUUGAACUUUUUCGCCCUGCUAAUCUUGGUCUGGAGCAAAUGCUAAACCUUCGAAGCAGCACCACACAGUUCCUGGGUUAUAAAGGCUUUGUUCCUCAGAUGCUCAGGUCCCCAGAAGGUCAGCUCUCUGGGGCAGGCCAAGCCUGUAGCGUUCACUGGCUUCUCCACAAGCUUAUGAAUAAAGCUGAAACUGUGAACUGUUCAAAAAAGAAAAUAGGUGAUUUGAUUUACAACAAGUUAGUAAAGGAAAACAGUAAGAUUCGGGAACAUCUGCCUUCCAGCAGAAUAUUCUUUGUGUUUCUAAUAAAACCAGGAAGCCAAGUGGAUGGAAGAACUGAUUUGAGAUGUGUGAUGCUGAUCCUUGUGUUAUGUUGGCACAAAUAUGGGCAAUUAGGACACAACUUCACACAACAGUGGGGCAAGAAAGUGAAAUAAGGAAUAGAGGGAUAUCUAGCGAUAAUAGGGUUGAUUAUGUGACAGGCACAUUUAUGGCGAAGCAAAGAGGAAGGGAUUUGGCAUCAAUUAACAGACUUCCUGAGUUCAAACCUGACUCCCUUACUUGCUUAACUUAUCUAAGCGUCAGUUUCCCCAUCUGUGAAAUGAAGAGAGUAAUAUCAUAGGGUCUUUUUGGAGGCACCAAUAAAAUAAAACCUGUAAGACAGCACAGUCCUUGGUGCAUGGUUAGGAGUUAAAGUAAAAUUAAAAAUAAAAAAGUUAACAGUUGUAACUGAUGGCAGAGACACAAAUAUCCCAUUCAUCUAGCGUGUUUAGUUUGCGUCAGUGGUGUCAUGGGAUUGUGUAUAAACGCCCAAUUUUCUCUACCUGCCAUACAUCUCUGACAGGGCCACUCUUAUGAGGAAAAACACCUUUGAGAGAUGUCUCUUGAAUAGGAAUUUGCUUUAGUUAUAUCUUAACAUAAGCAAGAGGCUUUUUUGUUAAAAUAACUUACUUCACUGUUCUGGCCCACUGCCCUGAACAUUCCACUUUGUUUUGUGUGACAGUGGGUUUUAAGUCAGCCAGUGUACAAGGCCCCAGAAUUCUGUUACAUCUGGGUUCAGAAAACUAUUUACUUUCUUCUAUAGUUUUCUGAACUAAUCUUAUUUCUUGGUUGUCACAUCUCAUAACUCACAACUGCUAUGUAUUGAAUUUUGGCCUUUCUCUUUCCCCUUCACCAUAAAGCUACAUCCUUGAAAGACAGGCAGCCCUUUCUUUCUUUUUUUUUCCCCUUAAUUUUUCACUGCAAAACUAAUUCGCAUACUUUGUUGAUUUUUUUUUCAUCCAAAGGCAAAUAACACAGGUGUGUGUGUGUGUGUGUGUGUAUAUGUGUGUGUAUAUAGUUCCCCAACUAAAAAGGGGAAAUCCGCCAUUAACUUCCAUAAUUUCCUCACCUCCAUGCCACUUUACAGAGAUAAUUGAUGUUAACCAUAGGCCUGUGUUCUUCCAAACAGCUUUCCAUGUAUCUACAAACAUUCCUAUCCUAUAUGUUAGGGAGAAAUUUGUUGUUGAUUUGACAAAAAUAAAAUCAUUGUAUACACACUGU
rnacentral:lncRNA from 1 species